rnacentral:lncRNA from 1 species
AAAUCAAACCUGGUUUUAUUGUUUCUUAGGUGUCAGAAGCAGCCACCAAUCAGUUAGCAACUCAGCAACAGAGAAAAAAACCCUUGCUUCCUCUCCCACCAAUGCUUUCAUUUCAGCCACGGCCACUGGCAGUGGCGGGAGACCCCCCAGAUCUGCCACAGGCAGCAGCCGAUGGGCAGCAGAAGUCUCCACAUCCAGCAGUGCCAUGUACGCGACCCUGGGCACUAUCCGAUCCUCGUCUGCGUCUUUUGUGAGAGACACCUCUGGAGUUCAUGGGCCCAGAGAGAUCACGGAUUUCACCGAGCGGGUGGCAGACCCUUCGCUAACACGCUCUCAUUCUCCUUCAGAAGGUCCUUCCCCAGCUCCUGGAAGCAGCCAUGUGUCAUUCAGCAUCCUGUCAACACCAAGAAGAACUGAUUUCCCAACCACCAGUACCUCCAUUUCCACAACAGCCACUAAGGGUGGAGGGAGGACGUUAAGGUCUCUGCCAGCCAGCACCAGACUGACCCAAACAACAGAGAUUUUCACCACUGGUACCGAAACCAUCAGCUCUUCAGACCAUACCUGGUCCUCUUUGAGAGCCCAGGGUGGUGGUGGCAGAGGUGCCACCAUGUUGUCCACAGACCCCUUGCUCAUAGGGUCGCCAUCUGCUUUGGAACAUGCUUCCCCAGAAGGGACCGUGGCUACAGGAGGACACCUUCCCGAUGCUCCUCUCACUAGUACGCCCAGCUCAGUGAUAGCCACCAGUGGUGGGGAGAGGAGCACAGUCCCCGUGUCAGACGCCCGCACGGCAUCCAGCUCUGCUCCCAUUCCACCCCACUCCAGCUCCCUGGACGUGGCCCUUCUGCCGUCCUCAUCAGCAACAGAGCCUGGGAGGCAGAUCAAUGUUUCACAGGGUGGUGCUCGACUUGGUGAGCUUCUAACGAAGCCACUGCCUGCAUUUUCUCCCAGCAUUUCAGUGCCUUUGCCUUCACCAAGUGCUUCAGGUGGGUCUUGUGGUUUCCUGUUUUGCCAUGGAGGACAUCCCUCCUCCUCAC